rnacentral:lncRNA from 1 species
GUUCUGACCCCUGUAAUGGUUCCACCCAGUGCUGAUGUGGUGCUACCAUGUUCCUCUGGACCUACUGCAGAGGAAGUCAAGAAUGUAACGGUCAGCUGGCAGCUGGUCACAGGGAAGCAGAGGACUGUCAUCCUUCGGUAUCCUCCGUCAGCACCCGUGGGUCCUACUGAACAGGUCUUGCAGGGACGAGUCAGAUUCAGUGGAAAUCCCCAGGAGGGCGAAGUAGCCCUAAAUGUGUCAAAAGUGACAGACACUGAUACCAACUGGUAUCGCUGUGACCUGCACACGCAGAAAACUCAAAGUUGCUAUGAAGUGAGGCUUGAAGUCAGAGAAUCUCAGUCAGCAGCCAUCACAACAGCCGGCCCGGUGACAGUUAUUACGGAUCUCACAAAUAUAACACCAACGACAACUAUCAGAGACAAUGAAGAGGACAGUGGGAACCGAGGCAGUGGGGCUAUGGUUGUCACACUGGUCUUCCUGUUGUCCACGUGUCUCAUUGCAGUGGCAGCGGCGCUGAUAAUCUGCUUCCUGCGAUACAAAGGGGCAAGAGAAUCAAGGAAUUUUGAUAUGAUUAAUCUUCAGGAGAGUCCUUAUUCCAACGUAGACAUUCGAAACUCAGUUCUGAACACGUUUUAUACCUUGGCUUACUCCGAAGAUAGGUGUUGUGAGCAGCACACUUGAAAACAGACACAAGAUAGCCUAUAUGUACAAAGUCACCCAGAAGCAUCAACUUCUUCUACACAGAAACAGUCAUUCUAGACUGUGAAUAUAGCUAAUUAAAGAUCUUAUUAAGUUUUCUUCUUUGUUGUUGUAGCUUUUUUACAUUAUGAAACCCAUAUGGAAAUAAAGAUGCACUCUUUUUG